rnacentral:rRNA from 1 species
GAAGGAUCAUUACCGAGUGCGGGUCCUUCGGGGCCCAACCUCCCACCCGUGUCUACCGUACCGUGUUGCUUCGGCGGGCCCGCCGCAAGGCCGCCGGGGGGGCGUCCCCCCGGCCCGUGCCCGCCGGAGACCCUGUGAACGCUGAUCUGUGAAGGCGUGUCGUCUGAGUCGCGUGAGAAAUCGUGAAAACUUUCAACAACGGAUCUCUUGGUUCCGGCACCGAUGAAGAACGCAGCGAAAUGCGAUAAGUAAUGUGAAUUGCAGAAUUCCGUGAAUCAUCGGAUCUUUGAACGCACAUUGCGCCCUCUGGUAUUCCGGGGGGCAUGCCUGUCCGAGCGUCAUUGCUGCCCUCAAGCACGGCUUGUGUGUUGGGCCGCCGUCCCCGCCCUCCGCGGGGGGACGGGCCCGAAAGGCAGCGGCGGCGCCGCGUCCGGUCCUCGAGCGUAUGGGGCUCUGUCACCCGCUCUGCAGGCCCGGCCGGCGCCCGCCGAGUCAACCACUUCUUUCCAGGUUGACCUCGGAUCAGGUAGGGAUACCCGCUGAACUUA